rnacentral:lncRNA from 1 species
AUCGGGGUUCAGACCUCAGCUUGACUGGAGACCAGCCUGCAAUUCCCCACAAUGGAUGACCACUUUCAACUAAUUCUGAAUUUGGAAAUAUAAAUCAUCUCCAGUGCACACACAGAGUCAAGAAAUCAAAAGCAUCAUCUAUUUCUCCCAAAGUCGCAAGAUUCUAAGGGUCCUCCUGAUACACAGGCUGAAACCAAUAGGGCCAAGGAGCCAUGAAUUGAAAACAUGAGUCACCCCACAAAUGGAUCAUUUGACCUCAAAGGGGUCAUAGCUCACAUACUGAGAACCAGCACUUUAAGGCUUUCUUGAAGUCUUGCAAACAAUACUAGUAUCCAGAACAACCUGAAGUUCAAAAAUAUUAAAGGUCUUCUGUUAAAUUUUCUAUC